UCAGGUCCUGUCCACUGCCGGCCUCAAAGUUUUGCUGCUGGAGAAAGGCCGCUACUUUGCGAGAGAAGAUCUGUCCCUGCUCGAGCAACCGACUUUCAGCGAGCUCUACGAAGAAGGCGGAUUUCUGGCAACUGACGACUUUGCUUACUCGCUCAUGUCCGCUGCGGUGGUGGGAGGCGGAACUUGCAUCAACUGGGCGGCAUCCUUCCAGACUCCGCCUCACGUCCGCCAGGAAUGGGCCGAGGAGUGUGGACUUCCCAUGUUUACCAGCGAAAAGUACCAGCAAGCUCUGGAUCUCAUCUGCAAGAAGAUCGGUGUUCAGCCCAAUGCAACAGUGGAAAGCUUCCAGAAUGCAGUCCUGCGCAAGGGAUGCGUGGAGCUUGGCCUCCACAGCGCAAAUAUACCGAGAAACGCGAGCCCGGAACACUAUUGCGGCUGCUGUAACAUGGGAUGCCGACGGGGUAUGAAGCAAGCGACCACCGAGACUUGGCUGGUGGAAGCAGCGGCAGCGGGAGCGACCAUCCUCACGGGAACAAAAGGCUUGCAAGUGCUAUUCACGGACGGGACCAAGAAGGAGAAGAAAGCCAUCGGUGUGUUGGCCACCACCUUGGGUGACCAGCCAAAGAAGUUGAUCAUCGAGGCCAAAGCGACCAUCGUGUCCACCGGCUCUAUCAUGACACCACCGCUGCUCAUCAGGAGUGGACUCACGAAUCCAAACAUUGGGAAACACUUCCACAUCCAUCCGGUGCUGGGAGUGUGGGGAUACUUCCCGGACGAGGAGAAGAACCCGGGAGCUAGCUUCGAAGGAGGGAUCAUGACGGCCUUUAGCGCGGUGAGCGCACGCUGGGACACAGUCGGCUAUGGUCCGGUGCUCAUGACACCGAGCUUCCACCCCGGACAGUACGCUUCGGUGGUAACUUGGAAAUCUGGAGCUCAGCACAAGGAGGCAAUGCGGAGGUUCAGACGAGUCUCUCAGGUGGUGCUCUUCACUCGUGACAAAGGAGCUGGGAGUAUCGGAGUGGACAAGAAGACGGACGAGAUCACGAUCGAGUAUACUCUAGAUCCAUACGACGAGGAGGUUUGCCUGGAGGGAGCGGAGAAAGGACUUCGCGUGCUCAAGGCAGCGGGGGCAGUGGAAGUCGGGACGCACCACCACGACGCUGAAAGCUUCACGUUUGGCAAGUCGACAAGCUGGAAAGAAGAGAAGAAGCGGUUCGAGGAGUACCUUGCGAGCGUGAGAAGCAAAGGGCUCAAGCCCAACCGGCUGCCAAUGGUAUCGUAUCACUUGCUGGGAUCGUGCCGGAUGGGAUCCAG
rnacentral:lncRNA from 1 species